GCAUAUCAAUGAGCGGAGGAGAAAGAAACCAACAGGGAUUGCCCCAGUAAGCGGCGAGUGAAGCGGCAACAGCUCAAAUUUGAAAAUCUGGGUCCCUAGGGCCCGAGUUGUAAUUUGUAGAGGAUGCUUUUGGUGAGGUGCCGCCCGAGUUCCCUGGAACGGGACGCCACAGAGGGUGAGAGCCCCGUCUGGCUGGCCGCCGAGCCUCUGUAAAGCUCCUUCGACGAGUCGAGUAGUUUGGGAAUGCUGCUCAAAAUGGGAGGUAUAUGUCUUCUAAAGCUAAAUAUUGGCCAGAGACCGAUAGCGCACAAGUAGAGUGAUCGAAAGAUGAAAAGCACCUUGAAAAGAGGGUUAAAUAGUACGUGAAAUUGUUGAAAGGGAAGCGCUUGUGACCAGACUUGGGCGCGGCGGAUCAUCCGGGGUUCUCUCCGGUGCACUUCGCCGCGUCUAGGCCAGCAUCAGUUCGUCGCGGGGGAAAAAGGCUUCGGGAACGUGGCUCCUCCGGGAGUGUUAUAGCCCGUUGCAUAAUACCCUGCGGUGGACUGAGGACCGCGCAUCUGCAAGGAUGCUGGCGUAAUGGUCACCAGCGACCCGUCUUGAAACACGGACCAAGGAGUCGUCUUCGUAUGCGAGUGUUCGGGUGUCAAACCCCUACGCGUAAUGAAAGUGAACGCAGGUGAGAGCUUCGGCGCAUCAUCGACCGAUCCUGAUGUUCUCGGAUGGAUUUGAGUAAGAGCAUACGGGGCCGGACCCGAAAGAAGGUGAACUAUGCCUGUAUAGGGUGAAGCCAGAGGAAACUCUGGUGGAGGCUCGCAGCGGUUCUGACGUGCAAAUCGAUCGUCAAAUAUGGGCAUGGGGGGCGAAAGACUAAUCGCAACCUUCUAGUAGGCUGGCUUUCCCGCCCGAAGUUUCCUUCUCAGC
rnacentral:rRNA from 1 species